AAACACUGAAUUCUCUCCAGAGCUUUCAUUUUACUGUCUUGAAAUUUGGGACCUACUCCUCUGAAUUCCAUACCUUGUAAAAGCAUUAGUAAGAUCAUCUCUUAAAAAUAAAUGUGAAGGAUAAGUUCUACUAAUUGUAAUUUUGAAAGGCAAAGGCAUAUGGGUUAGAAAAAUCUUAAUCAGUUCAUUUUCUGUAUGUAAUGAUUCCUUCACUUAAUAUUAACAACUAGCUUUCAAUAGAAAUCAUGUUUUGCUAAGCUUAUUUUUAUGUUCAGCACAUUUAAUUUUUAAAUUGAACUAAUGACUGUUUUAGAAUGCUGAUUGUGUAUUUUAAAUGGAUAUAAACUUCUAUCCAAAUACAGCCUUUCACAGUGCUGCAUAAAGAAGUAUCAGCUAGAAAAGAAUGCACCAUUCACUGGUUUUUAAUAUAAAAAUGCAAAAGCAGCCCAUAUGCAAAGACAGAUGAAAAAUGCUAUUUAAAAGCAUGAAUGAAUGGUAGAAAUCAACCCACAUGAUCCACGUCCACAUGAGCAAAGAAAAUGAGAAAGAAGAUGACUGUGUAUCUUGAAAACAGCUUUAUUUCUGGCCUCUUGGACUGAUCUGUGGGCUUAUACCAGGUAGAUGUGUCCCAACUAACAGCUAAAUAAAUAAGUCUUUAUGUUGAGUA